rnacentral:lncRNA from 13 species
UUCGAUAGCGAAUCCAGUGAUGUAUACUGUUCUGUGAUGUAUAUGUUAUAAUAACAUGACACAAGAAGUUUUAGCAAGCUCCAGCGCGCAUGUGCAAGAAAAAGCGACCUCACUGACAACACUGGAUAUCUGGAUUGCGCCACUUGUGGCAGACUUGCGUGAAGUGCGUGCGCGCGAUGCGUCAACAACUCGCUCGGCGGCGUGGUGAUCGCGCGCAACUUCAUGCGGGUGCUGGCGCGCGCGAUUGGUCGCGAAUGAAGCGGCGUAUAUAGACGGAGCGAACUUGGUGGGGGUGGGAAACGGCGGGAAAGAACUCGCUUGAUCUUGAUAGGACGAUUAGAUAUAUCGUUCUUGAGAACACAUGUCUUCCGAUCGUUAUUCAACAUCAUAUUAGCUGUGUCAAUUAUGGAACAAUUACCCAUUGACAUCAAAAUAUAUGGUCAGAAGUGACA